UUGGCUUUAUUAAUGCAAUUUCCAGUGUAUUUAUUAAAACAUUCUUCAUUAAAUAUUAUUGUCAUUGAUUUCUGUAUCACAGCACUUGACAAAAGAACAAAUGACUUGGACCUGAAGACCUGAGAGAUGAGCUAAUUUUUUCUGUUUCCUGGCCAAUAGAAUGUUGCCCAGGUGCAGUGAACACUAAAUGAAUGAAUCGCUCUUUGAAACAUACUAAAUAUUGAUUAAAGAAGGACCCAUCACUGCAGGUGAUGAACAGUGACUGGUGUCCUCCAAACAUGAUUCUUGGAACCGAACUGCAUAAUGUUGCAUUGUAGACCAAUUCUGAGCAACUAUGUGGAAAGGUAACUGCACAACUGUAUACGCUAAAUGGACAUAAAUCAUGCUCUUUUGCACAAUAAGCAAGUGUGGCAAAGUAGGUAAUCUCCCUCCCCUGGUACUUAGAAACGGCCUAUCAGGGCUCAGUCAUUGCUUUAUAAAGGCUGUGAUUAGGCUACCUGGGAUGCGUCAUUGUUGGCCCCGCCCAUCCGGUACGUGUGCGCUUCCGCCUAACAAAGGUAUGUUUGUAGCUGGUCUGGCUAAUGCUGCAAUGAGCUCUUGGACAUCGGCUAACUAUAUUAAUUUAUUGUAGCUGGAGUCGCCUUUUUGCAGCUUGAAUAGCCCAUUAUUCCUGGCUUCGCUGUGGUUUUCAGGCUGUUCUUGCCACCUGGUUAGACUGAUUUCAUUCAAGUAAUCUUCUGAGACUUGUGCUGUGAGCAACUGUAUGAGGUGUGUGUAACGCUGUAGUCAAUACCUGGCCCCUGAGUCGGGUGGCUAGCUGUCCUAGUAUCCUGGUGGUGGUGGUGUUUGGAGCACGGAGUGUGGAUUGUCGUUUGUAGUCACUCACCUCACUCUGUGUGUGUGUGUGUGUGUGCUUUUACGAAUAGCCAUUUUUGCAGCUAGCCUACCCUGCUAGGGGUAAGCCUUCGUAAAACUGAUUAAUGUAUGCCUGGUCGAUUCAUAUCUUUGCCUGAUCUUUUAAAAGGUGUAUUUUCUACUUUGUGAAUUUAAUAAAUAUUUGUAUACGCUAGUGCCUCUGUCUCUGCCUCCUAUGGUAACGAACCUGUGUGUCUAAAUUCCAUCAAGUAUUUAGUUCCCCUCACUUUAGAGGGGUGGCGUAGUCGGUAGUUAUAUCAUAAUUAAUUAACUUCAAGUUGCCACGCCACAUUCUGGCGUAGUCGGCAGGGUACCGUGUUUGGCGGAGACACUGGUAUUAGUGGUUGUAUUUUUUUUGUUUGUUCUUUUUCUUUUAUUUUUCUGUUGCAGUGAGAUUGGUAAAGAGUAGCAGCAAAACAGCAGCGCACGUCUGGUGGAUUCUGAUUCUUUGUGAGUCUACUCCCUCUUGUUGGUAAGUGUUACGGCCGUCAAAAUUAUGGAAGAAGAGUUACAGGAAUUGAGGGAAGUAGUAGCUCAGUUGCGGGCAGAAAAUGAGAGGUUGCGUCAAGACCACUUUCUUGCGCUUCCUGGCCCUAGUGAUGCCCCUUCUAUUGUUCCUGGUCCUUCUGUUGCUGCCCCCCCUCAGCUAAGUAGUGCACAGGCAGUCCUGCCAGAACGAUUCGUUCUUGUACCUCGAGACAGGAAAUGUCAAAAAUUCAAUGGCAGGGUUGGUCUGAGCAUUGAUGAGUGGGUUGAAGAGGCCAAAGCUUGUAUGCAGGCUCGUCACCUGUCUGUUUCUGAUCAAGCUUUCUUCUUGUUUGACCACUUGGAGGGGGAGGCAAGGGAAGAGAUUAGGUACCGUUCGGAGAUUGAGCGAAAUGAUCCAGAUAAAGUUAUUUUGGUGUUACGGGAAUUAUAUGGUUGCUCACAGUCAUAUGUCUCAUUACAGGAGGCAUUUUUUUCUAGAAAGCAGCAGGAGGGUGAAUCAUUGUUGGAGUUUUCCCUAGCUUUGAUGGGUCUCCUAGAACGUGUGACGCAGCGAUCGCCGUAUGUUAUGCCAAAUUCACAAAUUUUGCUACGCGAUCAGUUCAUUGAACAUGUUUGUGACGUGGCUCUUCGCCGAGAAUUAAAACAGUUAAUACGUCGUCAGCCAAUGUUAACAUUGUUGGAAGUUCGAAGCGAAGCUCUUAGAUGGGAAAGGGAGGGGAUGUUGGGGAGUACGAGAGGACGAAGCAAUUCCGUUCCAUCCGCCUAUGGGAUCCAGUAUGGUGUACAAGGUGAGUCACGGGUGGGUAGAUUUCCUCAGUCACGUAGUCAGCCUCCUCACCGCGGCCCCAUUAUAUGUAGGAGGUGCCAACGACUUGGCCACUUUGCUGGAGAGUGCGAUGGGGAGCGUGUUCCCCCUCGUCCGCAACCCCCUUUGCCCACUGCGUCGUCAUCUGAGGGUAUACAGCCUGGUCCAUCUGCGUUGUCGGGAAACUAGUCCCCACCGUGUCGCCGAGCCAAGGCGCGGUUGGGGAAUUGACCGGCUCUAGUGUUUCAAGUAUGUCUCAUUUAAUGUCUUCAUGCCCGCACCUUGCUAUUCGAAUGGGUGGGGUCCAAAUUUCAUGUUUGGUCGAUACUGGCUCCAUGGUGUCCACAAUAACGGAAAGUUGGUUUCGUAAAUAUUUUGAACCAUGGGGUCCGGAUCGACUUAAGUCGUGCCAGUGGCUACAACUUCGGGCUGCAAACGGUCUUUCGAUUCCAUAUAUUGGCUACAUGGAACUGGAUGUCGAAUUGUGUGGGCAAGUGAUUUCGGAGUGUGGAGUGCUUGUUGUUCGGGACCCUCCUGGUGGGAUUUGUGACCAAGUCCCAGGGGUACUCGGGAUGAAUGUCCUGAGCCGUUGUUACCAGGAGUUAUUCGGACAACAUGGCCCUGCUCUUUUUGAGUCUGCUGUAACCGUUGAGGCCCCUAGCUUUGUCAUGCAGGCACUUCAAUAUUGUCACCGUUUGGAAGACCAGGGUUCAGUAAGGCACCCUGGUCCGGUUAGGUUACGGGGUCGUGAGUCAUGUCGCAUCCCAGCUGGCACGAUGAAGUUUGUAGCAGCGACUUGUUCUGAACAAUGUGCAGCGGGGGUGGUACUGUUUGAGCCCCCAGAGUCUGGGUUGCCCGCGGGUUUGUUGGCUUCUCCAGCGCUGGUACAGGUCAUAAGAGGCAUUGCCUACUUGCCUAUGGUAAAUGUGGGAACUGCGGAUGUUAUGCUGCAUUCUAAAACCGUUUUGGGAGUGCUAAAUAGUGUUUGUAUGGUAAGUCUGCCUGCUAGGGUAACUGAAGUGAAAUCUGGUGUAGCCAUCAUGGCAAGAGGACCUGUUUCAAGGGUCUCUAGUGUUUCUUGUUGUGUAGCCGUCAAGGCCAGAGGACUUGUACCAAGUUUCUCGUGUUUCUUGUUGAGUAGCCGUCAUGGCAAGAGGACUUGUACGAAGUAUCUCGUGUUUCUCAUGGUGUAGCCAUCAUGGCAAGAGGACCUGUUUCAAGGGUCUCUAGUGUUUCCUGUUGUGUAGCUGUUGUGGCAGAGCACUUGUAACAAGUGUCUCUAGUGUUUCUUGUUGUGUAGCCGUCAAGGCCAGAGGACUUGUACCAAUGGUCUCUCUGUAUUCGCUCUACUAGCUUCCCAUAGCGAAGGUGAGUGUCUUGGGGUUAUCGUCGGGGCGACGAUAAAAUAGCUGGGGCAGAUUGUGGCAAAGUAGGUAAUCUCCCUCCCCUGGUACUUAGAAACGGCCUAUCAGGGCUCAGUCAUUGCUUUAUAAAGGCUGUGAUUAGGCUACCUGGGAUGCGUCAUUGUUGGCCCCGCCCAUCCGGUACGUGUGCGCUUCCGCCUAACAAAGGUAUGUUUGUAGCUGGUCUGGCUAAUGCUGCAAUGAGCUCUUGGACAUCGGCUAACUAUAUUAAUUUAUUGUAGCUGGAGUCGCCUUUUUGCAGCUUGAAUAGCCCAUUAUUCCUGGCUUCGUUGUGGUUUUCAGGCUGUUCUUGCCACCUGGUUAGACUGAUUUCAUUCAAGUAAUCUUCUGAGACUUGUGCUGUGAGCAACUGUAUGAGGCCCCUGAGUCGGGUGGCUAGCUGUCCUAGUAUCCUGGUGGUGGUGGUGGUGUUUGGAGCACGGAGUGUGGAUUGUCGUUUGUAGUCACUCACCUCACUGUGUGUGUGUGUGUGUGCUUUACGAAUAGCCACUUUUGCAGCUAGCCUACCCUGCUAGGGGUAAGCCUUCGUAAAACUGAUUAAUGUAUGCCUGGUCGAAUCAUAUCUUUGCCUGAUCUUUUAAAAGGUAUAUUUUCUACUUUGUGAAUUUAAUAAAUAGUUUAUACGCUAGUGCCUCUGUCUCUGCCUCCUAUGGUAACGAACCUGUGUGUCUAAAUUCCAUCAAGUAUUUAGUUCCCCUCACUUUAGAGGGGUGGCGUAGUCGGUAGUUAUAUCAUAAUUAAUUAACUUCAAGUUGCCACGCCACACAAGCUAGCAUGUAUAGUAUAUUUAUUUUGUACAUAGUUUAACAGCAUUAAGUGCAAGAGGGUAAAGAUAGUUAUUUAUGUCGAUAUUUCGAUAUUUUACAUGCACAUUAUUAGUAAUACAAGCUCCAAAGACAGAAUGUAUCAUUUGAAAGACUGGUAAAUGGUCUGACACGUCACACCAUAACAGCCCUGAUGACACUUUAUAGUCACAGGAGUUAAACAAAAUAUUAUCUAUGAGAGAGGCUGAGUGUGUGGUAACCCUGGUCGGUUUUGUAAUCAAAGGGUAGAAAUUUACAGAGUAUAGGGUAUUAAGAAAAUCAUGUGUAGCAGUGUGAUCAGCAUGUAAAAUAUUCAAAUUGAAGUCUCUGUGUAACAGACAGAGCUUAUGAUCCUUUGAAAUAAUAUCUAAGGUUGAAUCAAGUGCAUCAAUGCAGGUAUUUAUAUCAGAAGCAGGUGGUCUGUAAAUGCAUCCAAUCACAAUGUUUUUCCCUUUAAAUAAAUAACAUGAGGGAAUUUCGACAAAUAGAGAUUCUACUAAUGUUAGGUUGAAGUUAUUACUUAAGUCCUUUCUGAGAAUAUAUUUAAAUAAAUCAGACACUUACAGAGAGACUCCUCCUCCUCUUUUCAUUUCUCUACAAGAGUGGAUAGCAUUAUAGUGUGCUAGAUUAUAGAGAUGUGAUGUGUCAUUAUGAAGCCAUGUUUCCGUAUAAAUGCUAGAGCUGAGAAGGAGUGUGACAAGGUAGAUAAGAAGCUUUUAAAGUGAUCAAAGUUUUCUCUGAAGCUACGUGCAUUCACAUGAAUCGUGGAGAACGAGGUUUGAUCAGAAUGUGUAGGAGACAAACAAGGCAAGAAAUUAAACUGCUGUUCGG